rnacentral:rRNA from 1 species
GACGAACGCUGGCGGCGUGCUUAACACAUGCAAGUCGAACGGAAAGGCCCUUCGGGGUACUCGAGUGGCGAACGGGUGAGUAACACGUGGGUAACCUGCCCUCAGCUUCGGGAUAACUCCGGGAAACCGGGGCUAAUACCGGAUAUUCAUUGUCUGCCGCAUGGUGGGUGGUGGAAAGUUUUUUCGGCUGGGGAUGGGCCCGCGGCCUAUCAGCUUGUUGGUGGGGUGAUGGCCUACCAAGGCGUCGACGGGUAGCCGGCCUGAGAGGGCGACCGGCCACACUGGGACUGAGACACGGCCCAGACUCCUACGGGAGGCAGCAGUGGGGAAUAUUGCGCAAUGGGCGGAAGCCUGACGCAGCGACGCCGCGUGAGGGAUGACGGCCUUGGGUUGUAAACCGUCUUUCUAGCAGGGACGAAUGUAGACGGUACCGUGUAGAAGAAGCACCGGCCAACUACGUGCCAGCAGCCGCGGUAAU